GGUGCCAUAGCUCAGUUGGUAGAGCAAAGGACUGAACAUCCUUGUGUCCCCGGUUCGAUUCCUGGUGGCACCA
rnacentral:tRNA from 1 species